rnacentral:misc_RNA from 1 species
ACAAACUUGGUCAUUUAGAGGAAGUAAAAGUCGUAACAAGGUUUCCGUAGGUGAACCUGCGGAAGGAUCAUCAUAAAUAAUUUGAGUAUGUAUAUAUAUAUGUAUAAUAUAUAUAUUUAUAUAUACAUACUAUAUCAUCCAUAUAAGCGCCAUAAUUAUAAUCGUAGUUAUAAAUUAUUAUAGUUUAUUAUAAUAUAUUGGUAGUACAACUUUUAACGAUGGAUCUCUUGGCUCUCGCAUCGAUGAAGAACGCAGC